rnacentral:lncRNA from 10 species
CAAAAAGAGAAAACAGAGCAGAUUAGUCAUUGAUGUGGUUUGGCUGUUUUGUCCCUCUAAAUCUCAUGUUGAAAUGUGACCUUCAGCGUUGGAGGUGGGUUUAGUGGGAGGUGUUUGGGUCAUAGAGGUGGAUCUCUCAUAAAUGGUUUGGUGCUGUCCUUGUGGUAAUGAGUGAGUUCUCUGUUAGGUACAAACCACCCCAAAGAGCUUCUUGGUACUGCCAACACUCCCCGCAAACCUCUCCGCGCUGCCCACCCUUCCCCCAAACCUUCUUACAUUUCCAAGCCCUUAUCUAGGCACCGCAGUGAAGCCAGCCUGAUAGAAGACUUUACCUAUCAGGCCUUGCUGCGAUAAAGCAAACCCCAAUUACAAACCAUCCGGACCAAACGGGGAGGUUGUGGGAAGCAUAAACAAACUUUACCUACACCCUCCAGUACCGUAAACAUCACAAGGUGAUAUGUGGCAGAAUUAACCAGCAGACAACCCCGGGAUGCAGCCAUACCAAAGGACUCCCUCAAACUCCCUGCCCCAAUGUAAACCCCCUAUUCUGUAAGCUUGGGGCUGCUUUCCUUGACUGUUAAGGGGGCAGCCGACAGGUUAAUAAAGGCUUGCCUGAACUUGGGGCUCUCUCUCUCUGGUCCUUUCUCUCGGCUAACCUUACAUUCUCACUCUCUAAGUUCACAUGAGAUCUGGUUGCUUUAAAAAGCCUGGCAGCUCUUUGUUCUCUCUCGCCAUGUGAUAUGCUGAUUACCCUUUUGCCUUCUGCCAUGACUGCAAGCUUCCUGAGCCCUUACCAGAAGCAGAUGCCAGUGCCAUGCCUCCUGUACGCCCUGCAGAAGCAUGAGCCAAAAUAAACAUUUUUCUUUAUAAAUUACCUAGCCUCAGGUAUUCCUUUAUAGCAAUGCAAAACUGACU